rnacentral:pre_miRNA from 1 species
AUGUGUGGAUGGUGUUCAGCUCCAGGGACAGGCGUGUUUACCUGUGUUUGGAUGGUGUUCAGCACCAGGCACAGGCGCGUUUACGU